rnacentral:rRNA from 1 species
UACGGAGGGUGCAAGCGUUGUUCGGAUUUAUUGGGCGUAAAGCGCGUGUAGGCGGUUUCUUAAGUCUGAUGUGAAAGCCCUGGGCUCAACCCAGGAAGUGCAUUGGAUACUGGGAAACUUGAAUACGGGAGAGGGUAGUGGAAUUCCUAGUGUAGGAGUGAAAUCCGUAGAUAUUAGGAGGAACACCGGUGGCGAAGGCGGCUACCUGGACCGAUGAUUGACGCUGAGACGCGAAAGCGUGGGGAGCAAACAGG